GCACUCAAAAACCAUUGUGACCCAUAUAAUUUUACAUGGUUCCUAUCUUAUUUAAUACUUCACUUGAGAUUUAUUGCAUCUUGCUAUAUUUCAUUGGUAGUUAUUAGUUGUUGACGUUUAUUUGUUCUUUUAACCAGUGUCAACAUGACGAGCACGAGGAAAUUUUUUUGGAGGUAAGAGCAGCAAUUGAAGCAAAAUACCAGCACCUUUACGAACUAUUAUACACAAAGGGGUUUUUCUACGAUGAGAGGUGCCCAAUCUGAAGCCUGCAUCGAUUCAGCGCAUAUCUUGAUACCUUUUCCAUUUCUUCACUACAGGAGUUUUUCUACGAGGAAAGGUGCCCAAUCUAAAGCAUUCAUCGAUUCAGCUAUGCCCUCACAUUGCAAAGGAUUGGUUUAACGGUGAAGAUAAGAAACAUGACAUUAAAGUGGUUGUUGCAGGAUUGUCUGACUGUGGCCAGCUCCGGUCUAAGAGGGCAAGGAGCU